GCGUUUGUUUUCGUUGAUAAUAAAGAUAUCCGAGACCAAAAACCUCGAAAAAGGAUCCCAACAACGAGCAGAGAUCCAACUCGUGAAUAUUAGACCCACAAGAUUGAGAGACACCCCCUAAAGCACAAUAUCGAAGAACCAAUCACAAAAUAGGCAAACCCGAAGCUCUCUAAAUCCGGUGAAGGACUGAAAAGCUUAUAGGAAUUGAGUUCUAGUAAGAUGACAGUGAUCAAAACCAAUGGGAAAGGUCAGAUUCCGGCGACCUUGAUAUUUUCCGGUCAGAUUCAACUAAAAACCACCGAAAAAUAGAGAAAAUUUUGGGGAUUUCAGUUGGACUUGCUGAACGGGCGAUCUGGACACACAUUGCGCCGAUCCGGCAAGAUUUAAACUGAAAAUGAGGUUGAGAUUCACUGUUUCGGCACGGUUUAGGUCAGAAUGGAGCUGGACCUCCUAUUUUAGCUACACCGAAGUUCCUACGAACUCUGUAAUGGAGACCAUUUGGAGAUAAUCGACGGUUGUAGCAUAGAAGUCACCGGAAAAAGAAAUAAAUCUAUCAACACUCUUUCCCUACUCUCUUUCUCUCCCGUUACUCUCUCUCUCUCUCCGUUUCUCUCUGCGUGUGUCGGUGAUGGAAAUCCAUAUAUUAUGAUGGUGAGAUAAAAAUUGAAUGGAGGUGUGUGUUGGGUGUUGAGAGUAUGAAAAUGGAGAGUUGUUGGGAGCCCAAAAACUAGAAAAACAAUGAAGAUGAUGGUGACUUCCCCCCUGCUUGAGACUAUUUGGCGUGUAUAUAUGGCAGUGAAAAGUAUGUGGGUCAAUUGUGAGUGGAGAUUUCCAGUGGGUCCCACCCUUUUUCAAUUUUGUUAGGUGAGAUGGUGAGGUUAUUUUUUUAAUUGGAGGGGUAGAGGUUAGGUGUCUAUUUUGAUUGGGUGGGGUUGUUGGAAUGUUAGAAUGAGACAAAGUUUGUUAUAACUUGUUAUUUUUGGAUAAAAAGAAAACAAAAAUAAAUAAAUAAAUAAAUAAGUAAAAGAUGGGGUGGUUAUUUAUUUUCUUGAGGAAAAAUUAUAAGAAUUAAAUUAUGUGAUAUUGGAACGAGAAAUAUUUUUGACGGGGCAAAAUUAAGUGUCUACAAUAUUUAAGUACAAGAUCACCAAAUACUGUUUUAGGGUUAUUCAUCUGUAUCGCAACUCGAAACUUUUCAAUACUAAUGGUUUUGACAGAAUCAUGGUGGAAUUUCGAUAUUAUUUCACGCCGCAUUGGUGAGGAGGAGUUAUCACUUUCCUCGGCUUCAUUUUGCCCUGACUGAGAUUGUUCUGGAAGUUCCUCCGAAUCUAUCUGUACUCUAGAAUUUUUUGUUUGGUGAUUGGAAGUUGAUCCACUUUCUCCACUUUCAGUUUCUUUUAUUUUGGGAGACAUCUUUUAACUACAAACAAAAGAAAAACAAUAAAUACAUUGCAUUUGAUGUCUGCAUAAUUUUUUUAAAAAAGGUGAGACAAAUUUCAAUAAAUUAUUCUUACCACAUAACCAAAAAAAAUACUCCAACGGACAACCCAUCAGUUGGAACAGAUGGGGAACUCGAAUCUGUUUGAAGACCUAUUUAAUAUCUCCCAACAGAUAUUCCACCUGUUGCAAUAGGUGGGGAAAUUUCAAUAAAUUAUUCUAUGCCACAUUACAAGAAAAUACUCCAAUGGAUAACCCAUCAGUUGGAAUAGAUGGAGAAUCUGUUUGAAGGCCUAUUUAAUAUCUCCCAAUAGAUCUUCCACCCGUUGCAAUAGAUGGACCACUACCACCACAACCAAUGCCACCAAGACCACCACCAAUGCCACCAAUACAAUACCAAGAUACCGACACCACCGCCAAAAAACACAAAUACCAACACCACAAACAACACCAAAAACACCAUCCAACAAUACCACAAUAAUAAACUAAACACUGAGAGAAAAACUAGGGUUUUCUCAGGUGCUUCCUACCUUUUUAGCAUCCAAAACUCAAAAUUAUAAACCCAUUCUCAAAGAUAAUACAACUAAAAGUCUUCUUUUUUUAUCAUUAACUAAAAAUCCCUAUUUUUUCGAAUAAAGAACAAACGUAGAACUCUUCUCGAACUCUAUUACAUGCGAAGAUAUAGAAAAUUACGGCUACAAGCGGGAAUGAAGUAAAAAAAAAACAACUAUAUGUAGUAGUAAAUGAAAAGAAAAUUGACCUAUUUUGAAGGGUUGAGCAAUAUGUUGAGUAGUUGUUGUUUGUAUUGUUGAGAGGGAGAGGACACUUAGAGAGAGAGAGAGAGAGAGAUAGAAGAGCUAGAACUUAAGAUUUGAAAUGAAAAGUUUUUCACGCAAAUGGAUGAUUUGUAUGGGUUGAUUUCUAAUUUUGGAAAAAAAUGACAAGUUUUAAAAUUGCUAAUUUGGUCCGAAUUGAUCUUAAUUAAUUUUUAAAAUUUUAAAAUAUAUAGUUUUUAAAACAUUGAGUUGAUGAGAACUUAUUUUAACUCAGAGUAAUUGAUCGAUGACUCGGGUUGGGAUGAACGCAAUACCAACGCCAUGCGAAUAAAGAACAAACGUAGAACUCUUCUCGAACUCUAUUACAUGCGAAGAUAUAGAAAAUUACGGCUACAAGCGGGAAUGAAGUAAAAAAAAAACAACUAUAUGUAGUAGUAAAUGAAAAGAAAAUUGACCUAUUUUGAAGGGUUGAGCAAUAUGUUGAGUAGUUGUUGUUUGUAUUGUUGAGAGGGAGAGGACACUUAGAGAGAGAGAGAGAGAGAGAUAGAAGAGCUAGAACUUAAGAUUUGAAAUGAAAAGUUUUUCACGCAAAUGGAUGAUUUGUAUGGGUUGAUUUCUAAUUUUGGAAAAAAAUGACAAGUUUUAAAAUUGCUAAUUUGGUCCGAAUUGAUCUUAAUUAAUUUUUAAAAUUUUAAAAUAUAUAGUUUUUAAAACAUUGAGUUGAUGAGAACUUAUUUUAACUCAGAGUAAUUGAUCGAUGACUCGGGUUGGGAUGAACGCAAUACCAACGCCAUGCAAUUGCAAAGACUCGAUUGGAUUUGUAGUUGACCCUGCGAGCUCAUUCAUUUAUCCCUAGUUCCACCUAAAUCAACUUAUAUACUAUCACUAUCCUAACAUUGAGUUGAUGAGAACUCAUUUCAACUCAGAGUGAUCGAUCGAUGACUUGGGUCAGGAUGAACGCAAUACCAACGUCAUGUAAUUACAAAGGUUCGAUUGGAUUUGUAGUUGACCCUAUGAACUCAUUCAUUCAUCUCUAGUUCCACCUAAAUCAACUUAGGUACUACAACUAUCAUAACAUUAAGUUGAUGAGAACUCAUUUCAACUCAGAGUGAUCGAUCGACAACUCAGGUCGGGAUGAAUGCAAUACCAACGCCAUGCAAUUGCGAAUACUAGAUUUGAUUUGUAGUUGAUCAUGCGAGCUCAUUCAUUCAUCCCUAAUUCCACCUAAAUAAACUUAGGUAGUAUCACUAUUCUAACAUUGGGUUGAUGAGAACUCAUUUCAAUUUAGAGUGAUCGAUCGAUGACUCAGGUCAGGAUAAAUGCAAUACCAACGCCAUGCAAUUGCAAAAGACUCAAUUGGAUUUGUAGUUGACCUUGUGAGCUCAUUCAUUCAUACCUAGUUCCACCUAAAUCAACUUAGGUACUAUCAUUAUCCUAACGUUGAGUUGAUGAGAACUCAUUUCAACUCAGAGUGAUCGAUCGACGACUCAGGUCAGGAUGAACGCAAUACCAAUGCCAUGUACUUGCAAAGACUUGAUUGGAUUUUCAGUUGACCCUCUGAGCUCAUUCAUUAAUCCUUAGUUCCAUCUAAAUCAAUUGCAAUGAAAUCUGUUGCAACAAACGACUAAGCUAUUGAAAAUUUUCAAACAUGUACAUAUCUGUUGUAACAGAUGACAUAUCUGAUUUAAUUAUCAAAUAGAUAUUUGCAUCUGUUGUGACAGAUGAUUGAGCUAAUGGAAAUUUUCAAAUAUAUAUAUANNNNNNNNNNNNNNNNNNNNNNNNNNNNNNNNNNNNNNNNNNNNNNNNNNNNNNNNNNNNNNNNNNNNNNNNNNNNNNNNNNNNNNNNNNNNNNNNNNNNNNNNNNNNNNNNNNNNNNNNNNNNNNACAUAUCUAAUUUUAUUAAUUAUCAAAUGAACAUUUUCAUCUGUUGUCACAGAUGAUUGAGCUGUUGGGAUUUUUAAAUAGAUAUUUAUAUCUAUUGUAAUAGAUGACUGAGUUGUUCGAAUUUCUAAACAGAUAUUUAUAUAUAUUGCAACAAAUGACAUAUCUGUUUGAAAAUCUUUUUUUCUCUUUUAAUUUUAAAGCAAGCUUCUGUUCCGAGUAGAUAAUAUCAAGUAGUAGUACUUACUACUAAAGGCGGUAAAAAAUGUUUCUUGGAUAUCUCAAAAGUGAGUUCAUUGAGCAGUAUUGUCUUGUCUUUUCAAUGUCAGUAGCCUUAGUCUUCCUCGUGCCCCUCAAAUUAUUAAUGAAUAUUAAAAACCACCACGUCUACGUACACAAUACAUCUAUAGAAAUUAUUUCAUCUCUUCUUUCAGCUGCAGUUUAUUUUAUUCAACUCUCAUCUUUUUAUUUCUCUCCUCUUUAGGGUCACAACCUUUUUUCUCUCUUUUCUCUUCUCUUCUCAUAAAGAUCUUUUUGGAUCUAAAUCCAUCCAUAUAUUUUCUUAACUUAAAUUUCUAUUUUGAUUCCCUUUUUGAUAUUAAGGUUUGGUUCAUUAUUGCUCUUUAAUUCUCGUCUUCUUCUUUGCAAGUUAUUCACAUCUAUAUUUUUAUUUAAUUACUAUUUACCCAUAUUAUAUUUAUUAAAAAAAUUUGAAAGAACUUUUAAGUGUUGAAUAAACAAUCUGAGAAUUUUUAUUACAAUAUGAGAAAAAAAAUUAUCUAUUGGGAGAAGUAUAAAAACCUUGUUGGCAGUAUCAUUUUUUUUGUAUGUAUUUUUUUGUUUCUUUAUUUUUGAUGCAGUUAUUGAUGUUGUUGGUGGGGUUGGCAUUGUUAGAACUCGUGGUGUGGUGGUGUUGAUGGUUCUGAAACAAUUUAUUAUUGAUGAUGUUGUUGGAACAAAUGUUGUUGUUUCUUUUUUGUUGAUGUUGUAACAGAUGGAGAAACUGUUAGAACAAAUAAAACCACUAGAAAGGCUGGUUUAAUGUAUUUCAUCAGACUCCAUAUCUAUUGCAAUAGACUCCAUAUCUGUUGCAAAAGACUCUACAUCUGUUGCAACAGACUCUACAUCUGAUGCAACAGAUGGAUAAUGUUCUUUUUGUGACAUCAAUUUUUUUCCUCUUCUUUGUAUAUAUAAGGAACUGACAGUUGAUCAACUUUUGAUGGACUAUUGUAAGAGGCUGCAGUAAAGAUGGGUUCAGAGGAAUAAGCUGCUUGCAGAUGGAACCACUUCAUAUGUAGGAGGUAUGUAUUACUGAUAUAGUAAUCGUGGAAACACACAUAGAGUGCACUGAUUUUGUGAAUGCUGUUUUUCCUGAUUAGUCAUAGAUCGUUCAAACAAGAGGUCUGCAAUUUUAUAAUUAAGUUUGGUAGGUUCAAACUAAUAAGGAUGAGGGACUAUGAAUUGGACUAACUUUUAGGGUGUAUUGGACCCUUAGAGGGCCUUCGAAGCUUAGCACUGUAUCUAACAAGAAAGGAAAAACAAUAUAGUUAUUACCCUGGAUAAAAUUUAUAUGGCUAGGUUUCUCGCUCCGGGUGAUGAUUAUAUGCUAGAAGGUACGAUAGGAGAAUGCUUUUGAGGGAAAAUAGGUGGUUAAUGGAAGACUAUAUCAUCUCAGAGCUAAUUAAAGAAUAGACAUAGGGUAGAUACAACUUCUAACAAAUUUUGUCGAUGGAAUUAUCUUAAAAGAUAGCGAGAUCUGAAUCAAGUGCAAAUAUGAAAGUGUAUCCAAUAAUGUAAUUUCAUCUUUUGUGUCUCUGAAAAAAAUCAUGCAUAUUGACACUUUGCUAGGGAGCUGCGUGGUCGGGAUUAUCACCUAGAUAAAAAAUAUGAGAAGACCAACAAAGAACCCUCACGGGCAUCGGGGUUUGAAAUGAUGUACAAUAAGUCUAGAAAACUUACGCCAAUAACAACUGCAGUUAAAAUAAUUCUAAGCGAAGGCUGUAAUUUCUGAAUUUUAAAUUUUAUCCCAUGCUUUCUUGUUUGUGUUUUAGGCCAGGUCCACUGUCGUUGACCUAAUCGGAACCACAAAUGAGAUUGAAAGGCAAAUAGAGUAUCAUUGCUUCCUUAGCAAUAUGAUUAUAAUUGAUUGUGUUUUCUUCCCUUAACAUGCUUUCAACAUUCCUUGGAGAUGAUCAGAUGCUUGUUGUAGUAUGUGAAUCCCAAUAAUUUUCAAGCUUGCCUCCAGCUUGUUGAUUCUGUAUUCAAGUUGGUCGUUGUCAUCUUCGAAGUUGGUUAGGAGUUGCUCAUCUCUUGUGAGCUCGAUCAGGGACACCACCUUCAAAGUUAUGGCAUUCUAGAAUCCCUUCAGAACACUUUCUUCAGAAGUCUUAAAGGAUACAUGGAGGGUCUCUGUGUUUGUUUUAGGUCAAAAUAUGUUGAUACAUGUUGAAGAUGUGGUCCCAACAGUUGAACAACAUACUUUUAUCGAGCGUUUCUCCAUGCAUCUUGCUCAACCGAUUUGAUAAAUUAGUAAGCAUGGAGUUACAUAGUGUGUGAUCUAAACCAUCUCUAUAAAACCUAUCAAAUGUUACGUAACUCCAAGAUCAUUAUCCUAUCAAAAAAUAUGAUCGAGUUAGUGCACAAAUCGAACGAGCUCAAUCUCUCAGCCUUUCUGCUGAUCUGUCUUCUCCAAUAUAGAUGACAAGAUAUCUACUAUGCAAAAGUCUACACCGUCGCCAGACAUGCUUGACUGGGAGCAAUUCUUUUGAAGAUAUCUGUUGAUGUCUUCUAAAGAAUUUCUCCCAAGCAAGCAUGUCUGGCGAUGGUGUAGACUUUUGCAUAGUAGAUAUCUUGUCAUCUAUAUUAGAGAAGAGUGAUCAGCAGAAAGACUGACAGAUUGGGCUUGUUUGAUUUGUGCACUAACUCGGGCAUAUUUUUUUGAUAGGGUAAUGAGAUCGAAGUUACAUAAUGUUUAGUUUAGAUCACACGCUACGUAACUCUAUGCUUACUAAUUUAUCAAAUUGGUUAAGCAAGAUGCAUGAGAAACUCUCGAUAAAAGUGUGUUGUUCAACUCUUGGGACCACAUCUUCAACGUACAUCAACACCUUUUGACCUAAAACAAACACAGCAACCCUCCAUGUAUCCUUUAAGGCUUCGGAAGAAAGUGUUCUAAAGGGCUUCUAGAAUGCCAUAACUUUAAAGGUUGUGUUCCUGAUCGAGCUCACAAGAGAUGAGAAACUCUUUACCAACUUCGAAGACAACAAUGAUCAACUUGAAUACAGAAUCAAUAAGCUGGAGGCAAGCUUGAAAAUUAUCGAGAUUCACAUACUACAGCAAGCAUUUGAUCUUCUCCAAGGAAUGUUGAAAGCAUGCUUAGGCAAUAAAAUACAAUCAAUUAAUCCAUAUUGCUAAGGAAUUAAUUAUACUCUAUUUGCCUUUCAAUCUCAUUUGUGGUUCCGAUCAGGUCAACGACAGUGGACCUAAUCAGAAACAUAAACAAGAAGGCAUGGGAUGAAAUUUAAAAUUCAAAAAUUGCUGCCUUCGCUUAGUUUCCUUAUUUUAAUUGUAAUUGUUAUUGACGUAAUUUUUCUAGACUUGCUGAACAUCAUUUCAACCCUCGAUGCCCGUGAGGCAACUUUGUUGGUCUUCUCUUAUUUUCUAUCUAGAUGAUAAUCCUGACCGCGCAUCUCCCUAGAAAAGUGUCCAUCUGCAUUGUUUUUCUUUCAGUGACACAACAGAUGAAAUUACAUUACCAGAUACACUUUCAUAUUUGCACUUGAUUCAGAUUUCGCAUCUGUUAAGAUAAUUCCAUCGGCCAGAUUCAUUAGAAGUUGUAUCUACCCUACGUCUUUUCUUCAAUUAUCUCUCAGAUGAUAUAAUCUUCUGUCAACCAUCUAUUUUUCCUAAAAAUCAUUCUCCUACCAUACCUUAUGUCAUAUAAUCAUCACCCCGAGGGAGCAACCCAGCCAUAUAAAUUUUGGCUAGGGCAAUAACUAUAUUGGUUUAACAUUCUUGUUUGAUGCAGUGCAAGGCCUAGAGGGCCCUCUAAGGGUCUAAUGCAUACUUUAAGUUAAGUUCAAUCACUAUUGGUUCUCUGUAGUGACAACAAAUAUUGAUCCCUUCUCAAAACUUGACACACAUAAAUGCGAGCAACAACCGUCAGUAAUUCGUAACAAGGUAUCUGCCCCAUCUUCAUGUGGUCCUCAGCCUUAUCAAUUUUGAACCCAUCAAACUUAACAUUAUAAUGUAGGAUUUUGUUUGAAUGAUCAAUUCCUAAUCGGUUAAAAACUGCAUUCACAAAAAUAUUGUACUUUGUGUGUGUUGUCCCGGUGACCUUAUCAGUAAUGCAUACUUAAAUCCCACACAUAUAAUAGUGGAUCCAUCUGCACACAACUUAUUCUUCCUAGCCCAUAUAUGGCUUAAAUUGAAUAAAUAGAUGACUAGCUAGUUGCAACAGAUGACACAACAGUGUAUAUUGUCAAACAAUUGAAGAUAUCUGUUACGACAAUUGAUUAACCUAUUGCAGAAAUCAAACAGAUAUAUACAUCUGUUACAAAAGAUUACCAGUAUGUUGUAUUGUAAGUUAUCUACCAGAAAGAGUAUAUUUUGCAAUAGAUUACCCAUCUGUUAGAUUUAUUUUAAAGCAAUUUUCUUUUCUUUUAGAGAUACAAUAAUUUAUAAAUAGGUCCCUCCUUACAAAUAUGGAUGAUCCAGAUUCGUACAAGAAUAUUCAUAUCGAGUCCUUGCGUGAACUUCAAAGGCAGUUUGAUGAAUUUCAGAGAGAUUUGGAUGACUUCGAAGCAAGGCUGCCAGAUGAAAAAUGUCCGAUUGACAAUAAUAAUAGUAGUAGUAAUAAUAAUUAGGUAAUAUUUUUUAUUUUAGCGCAUGUAUAUAUUUUUCUUUCCUCCUUUUGUAUAUCGGAUCUACCCAAGGGAUUCAAAAAUCUAUGAACAUUCAUUUCAUUUUGUUGUCGACUUUGAAUUUUUAAUUCUUAUUUAAUCUUUAAUAAUAAUCAUUCUAUUUAUUCCUUGUUCUCAAUAUGUCGUCAACGGUUGGUGGUAGGGAUUGAGCAGCAAUUUGUGUCAAAAGAGGUUAAUCUACUACGACAGAUCGAUCAUAUGUUGCACCUGGCGGUUAUUAAUAAAAAAGGGUUAUUGUUGUUAUUGAGAGGGUGAAAAGAAAAAGAAGACAUAACUUUCCGAUUAUUCAUGACAUUCACUUUCCGAUUAUUCAAUAUGAAAAAUGUUUCGUAAACAAAUAAUAAGGAAAUAAAUGAUAAACACUAUUUAUAACUACAAUUUUAAUAAUUGAUCGUGACUUUUCACCAUUUUUGUUUUUGAAUUUAUUUUUAAAAUUAUUUAUUAAUAAAAUAGUUAUUAUUCUAUUAAGGAAUUUGAAAAGGUGUUUUUUUUUACUUAUAAAAUAAAAAAGUAAGCAAAUUUGGAUUAAUGAUAUGAUGAUAGUUAUUUUUUUUAAAAAAGUAGAUUAUAUGUUGCAACAAAUAAAUUAUCUGAUGCAAAUUUCUUAAUAAUCUGAAAAGUCAUGACUUAUCACAAUAUUUCUUAAUUUAAUUAAGUCAUUACUUUUCAUAUUAAUAAAAAAUAUAAUUAAUAAAUGGAGGUGAACAGUUAGAUUAUAUGUUGCAACAGAUAGGUUAUCUGAUGCAACAUAUUUUAUAUUUGUUGCAACAGAUAAUAUAUCUGUUGUCACAGAUGUGUUAUCUGAUGCAACAGAUAUAGAAUCUGUUGCCACAAGUCAAUAAAAAUGGUUCUUAGAAAGAACUAAAUAAUAAUAUAAUCUGAAAAGUCAUGACUUAUAUCACAAUAUUUAUUUUCUUAAUUUAAUCAAAAAUGUAAUUAAUGUAUGGAGGUGAGUAGUCGCGCCUUUUGGCCUCUCAUUCAAAUUCAAUCCUCUAUAAAUAGGUCCCUCCUUACUCAUUCGUUCAUUCAACUACAAUCUAUUUAUUUAUUGCAUCUCGUCUUUCAUAUUACACUCUAGAAGAUAAGAUUAUGGUUGACCCAGUGUGGAACGUUGCUUUUUUGCAAGACGCCAUGAAUGAACUUCAGAAUCAAGUUCAUGACCUACAAUGGGAACUAGGAGGAGUUAGAGCAAGAAUACUCCACGAGAUACGCAGGCUGAGGAGGGCCUUGCUACUUCCAGUUGAAGAUUGGCCGGCUGGCAAUGAUGAUGCUGAUGAUAAUAAUAAAAAAUUGAUUAUUAUUUUUCUUUUAGUCUAUUAUAUGUAUUUUUAUUUAUUUUUGUUUAAUAAAUAAAAUAUGUUUGAUCUUUGACAUUUUAAUCCAUAUUUAAUUUUCAUUCUUUCUAUUAUCUUCUCAACAGACAUGUUGAUGAUUCGACAUAAAAAGGAAUAAUUUAGAAUUCAGUAGCAAUAGCAAGAUUUAUCUGUUGGGUUUGUGGCAGGGGUUGAUGUGUUGUUCAAAAUAGAUUACUCAUGUUGCAACAGAUAUGAAGUUGAUGUAACAGAUAAAUUGUCUGUUUCAAUAGAUGACUAGUUUGUUGCUUUGCUUGGAUCUACCGUUUUAAUUCGUACUCUCUCCGUCUCAAAUUACCCAUCCCAAAUUGAGCUGCCACAUUGAUUAAGAAAAAUAAUUAAUAACAUGUCUAGUUUACCAUAACCCACUGACCAGUUGGUGGGUCAGUAGACAUGUUUGAAAUAACGAUUGUUUGCUAUUCAAUCAAAAUUUCAUAAGAGAAGAAAGCUUUUAACGUCGCUCGGCGUAUAGCCCCCUAUUAAAUGAUGUUUCCAUUUUAAUUUGAAGAAAAAGUGAUUAAUGUAAAGAGUUAAACAUUGAUUUAUUUAAUUUUUUCUUGAUUAAUGAAAAAGACAAGUAAAAUGAGAAAUCGAAUUAGGAAAUUUGGGACGGGUAAUUGGACGUAAGGAAUAAUUUUGAAUCUAGUAGAAAUAGCAAGAGUUGAAAAUAUAUUGGUUAUCUGUUGGGUUUGUGGCAGUGGUUGAUUUUUGUUGUUUUAAACAGAUUAAUCAUUCGUUGCAACAGAUAAUUAGUCUGGUGCAAUAGAUAAACAUCCUUAUACAACAGAUAAUACAUCUGAUGCAACAGAUAAACAGUCUAAUGCAACAGAUAAGUCUUCUAAUACAACAAAUUUCUCAUUUGAUACACCAGAUGAUUGAUCUAUUUAAAUUGUGGGCACUUAUGCUGGAUUCAUGAUCGAGGUUCUAUCCAUUGUUGAAAAAACAGAAGUGUACCCAAAUGACAAAUACGAAUAAAAAUCAUAAUUUUACUUACCAAAGUCACCUAUGAAGUAAUGCCAAAGUGGAAAGUGAUGUAGUAAGCAAAAUUUGACCUAAGAAAUUGGUCAGAUCAUAGCAGUAGCGCUGUACCAACAACAACAACAACAACAACAAAUGGUCGACAAGAAGUGGAUGGAGAUGAUAAUGAAGUAGAAGAUGAUGAUAAUAAAGCAGAAGAUGAUGAAUAAAGUAGCAGAAAUAGAAACAAUGAACAACAAAAAUUUCUAAGACCGAGAAAACAACAAUGGAUGAUAAGAGAGAGAAAUACGCCUUUUUUUCCUCCAUUUCCCAUUAUUUUAGGUAUACAUUGGGAUCAAAGUAUAAAUUUAAAAACUUGUGGGUUAUUUUCAAACUUUUCCAACUUUCUUAAUCCAUAAUAAAGUAAUUGUCACCUUCAACUAAUAAUUAAGACUUAUGUCACCUAUGCCUCAUUUUAAAAUUCUUUUGUCACCUGUGGCCCAAACCCUCGAGAGACUUAUAGAUAUAAGAGAAGAUUUUAUUUUCUUCUACUUUGGUGUGUAUUUACAAUGAGAAUAGAAUGCCUUUCAUAGGCAAUAGUAUGUGGAAAAAGUAUACUAUGUGAAAAUACAAAAUCUUUACAUCCUACAAUAGUAUGUAUAAUAUGUGUAGUAUGUGAAGCUACAAUAGAGUAGUAUGUGAACAUCCACCAAAUACAUUCUUUACAAUACUUCCCCUUGGAUGUUCAUGUAAAAGAGAAAUUCCUUAAAAAUAAGAUGCACAAUAUUGGUUUGUAAUACGUCUUAUUUGUUGCCUCAUUAAAAACCUUACAAAGAAAAUUCAGUGGGAUAAAACAUUGGUUAAGGAAAAAAGAGUGCAUUGCAUAUGUACUCCCCCUAAUAAGAACAUCACUUAAUAACUAGGAGAUGACGCAUCUCAAUAUUGUAUCGCAACUUCUCAAAGGUUGAUGUUGACAAUGCUUUAGUGAACAUAUAUGCUAGAUUAUCGCUUGAGCGAAUUUGUUGAUCUAUUUCACCUUUCUUCUUAAGAUCAUAAGUGAAAAAGAAUUUUAGUGAAAUGUGUUUUGUUCUGUCUCCUUUAGUAUAACCUCCCUUCAACUGAGCUAUACAUGCAACAUUUUCUUCAUAAAAUAUAGUUGGAAUAUCCUUAUUCAAAGAAAAUUCAUAUAUUUCCUGAAUAUGUUAAGUCAUUGAUCUCAACCAAACACACUCCUGGCUCGCUUCAUGAAUGGCAAUGAUUUCUGCAUGAUUUAAAGAGUUUGCAGCUAAUGUUUGCUUCAUUAAAUGCCAUGAUAUAGAUGUGUCACCAUAUGUAAAUAAAUAACCCAUCUAAGACUGAGCCUUAUGUAGAUCUGAUACGGGUACAAUCAUGAAGAUGGACAUUUUUUAGUGUGUUGAAUGCAACCUACAGAGUGUAUGAGUUGGAGUGUGAAAAGAGCUCAAAAGUCGUCCCUAUAUUGCACUCCAUGAGCCAUUUUGUUCAUUUAACACUAAGGAAUACUUUUGUCAUUUUGCCUAUUAUCAUAAUAAGUCUAUAAAUAGAACAUGUUAAGGUUUAUUUUAUUUGGUUUCUGAAUAUUGAUGUAAGAACACUUGAGAGAAGGCUCUCUAGGCCGAAAACUAAGGCAUGAAAAGUAUGGAAACACUUGUGAAUAUGUAUUGCUUGGAAACGUUGGUGCUUGAGCAGUGGAAUCCCUCUCGUGCCUUCGUAAGAGUAUGGUGUUGCUAUUGUAAGUUCUAUGGGUCCUUAGAUGGAAUAUGUCUAGGGUUCUUGGAUCUUAUUGUAGUGUAUGUCUCACUUCCUAUCUUUACAUUUCAUGUUUUAGUUUGUGUUGUCUAGUGAACUAUUAGUUCUUGUUGUUCUUGUAAUCUUGUAACCGUUGGUUCUUGUUAUCAUAGUGUUUUUUUCCUACCAUAUUAUUGAUUAUCUCUUGUUGUUGUUUCUAUUUUUGGUGUCAAAUAAACCUACAUAUCUUGUAUUCUUGUUGUGUUUGUCGAAUCUGAGAGAGGUCCCCAUUUGGUCUGUGAUUUGUUAUGAUUUGUGGACUGUUUUGGGGUUCAAUUUCGUGUUCCCUUAUUUUGUCUUGUAUCAUUUGGUAUCAAAGCCGAGUUUGAUUUUGUUCCUAUGAAGUCAAUCUUGGGUUUGUUACUUAGAAAAUCAAAAACAAAAGCUGAAAACUGAAAAAAAAAUUCCAGAAAAGUUGAAAUCUGUCCAUUUUUGUUUCUUGGCCGAAAGUUGUGUUCUUGUUGUCUUGGCCGAUAUUUGUUUGUUAUGUGUCUAGAUCUAGUAGUGUUCUUGUUUGGUUUGUCGUUUCUAGUGUUAGUUUUCUUGUUCACUAACAUUUUUGAGUCUAGAUCUAAACUUGAGCUUAAACUUGUAGAAAGUUGUUGUUGUGAACAUUGUUGUGGCCGUGAGAUAUUGUUGUGUUUCAAGCUUGGCCGUGUGUUGUAUUGUGGAUUUAGAGUUGGACGUUAGGUUGUUGUUGUUUGUUGUUGGAGAUUUGAGGUUGAACAUGUGUUGUUGAUGAUGGAAAACCCAACAUGAACCUUAGAAUUCAAAGUGUUGUGUUCUUGGUGUUCUUCACCACCUUCAUAACUUGUUGAGGAAAAGGUGUUGUUUGAUCUUAACACCAAGAAGAAAGAGAGUGGCAUUGUUGUUAGUCUUGAAGACUUUUUUCAACCACCCUUAAGCCUUCUCCAACAAUCUUCCAAGUUUUAAGGUCUUUCAAGACUUUUCCUACACAAAACAAAGACUUUACAACCACUUCUAACAACCUUCCAUGAUUUAAGGACCUUAUUUUAUAGGAAUAGUAUUAGCCAAGUCAAGACUUUUGUUUGAAAAUUGAAAAGAGUUUAAAGACUUGUAGUUUCCCUCCAUUAACCAAAUCUCAAUCAUCCAAAUUGAAAAUUGACCAAGACUUCCAAAUUGAAAAAUAACAACUUAUUUAAAAACCACAACCAAUACGUGGCUUCCACAUUAUUAUUUACUGUUCACACGAUAAUUUUAAGCUCAAAUUUUGAUCUCUUAAGAUUCAAUUUGUUGUUUUCUAGUUUCGUUUGUUGAUCCCAAUACCAACUUACAAACUAGUGACCAUUUACUAGAUUGUGAGUUGGUUUUGGAAACCGUUCUUUGUGUUUACGUACUUAUGUGUUUCUUUUCUUGUUCUUUGAAGUCGUUGUAAAUGUUUGGUUCACCUCUCAACACCUCACGGAGUACAAGCAACCUUACAACACUUGUGAGAUUAAAGUGUGAGGAAUCUGAGAGGCAAAGAAAUAAAGAGAGAGUGUGAGGACCUUUCUUAUACAACUAAUUUAUUUGUGUUUUGUUGGUAACUUCUUAGCGACAAUGAAUAACAAUGUUCCUAAUUCUAUCUUGGCCGGGAAUGAAACUCAAUUGAGCCGAAUGAGAUUGAAGGCAAAUCUCAAUAUGGAGAGAAAGCCAAGGUUCAAAAUGAAGUUGUUAUGUUCUCGAUUUCUUCUUAUUUUGUGGUCUAUUUUGGAACCAUUUUCAUUUGAUUUGUGCCGUGAAUUUGAGGUCAAAUUCCUCUCAAGAUGGAGAAGAUGAUACAGGUACAAUCCUGAAGAUGAAUAUUCUUUAAUGUGUUGAAUGCAACCUACAGAGUGUACGAGUUGGAGUGUGAAAAGGGCUCAAAAGUUGUCUCUCUAUUGCACUCCAUGAGAGCCAUUUUGUUCAUUUAACACUAAGGGGAACUUUUGUCAUUUUGCCUAUUAUUGUAAUAAGUCUAUAAAUAGAACAUGUUAGGGUUUAUUUCAUUUGGUUGCUGAAUAUUGAUGUAAGAACACUUGAUAGAAGGCUCUCUAGGCCGAAAACUAGGGCAUGGCAAGUGUGAAAACACUUGUGAAUGUGUAUGGCUUGGAAAUGUUGGUGCUUGAGUGGUGGAAUCUCUCUCGUGUCUUCGUAAGAGCGUGGUGUUGCUAUUGUAAGUUCUAUGGGUCCUUAGAUGGAAUAUGACUAUGGGUUCUUGGAUCUUAUUGUAGUGUAUGUCUCACUUCCUAUAUUUACAUUUCAUGUUUUAGUUUGUGUUGUCUAGUGAACCAUUGGUUCUGGUUGUUCUUGUAAUCUUGUAACCGUUGGUUCUUAUUAUCAUAGUGUUGUUUCUUCCUACUAUAUUGUUGAUUAUCUCUUGUUGUUGUUGCUGUUUUUUGUGUCAAAUAAACCUACAUAUCUUGUAUUCUUGUUGUGUUUGUCGAAUCCGAGAGAGGUCCCCAUUUGGUCCGCGAUUUGUGGACUGUUUUGGGGUGUGAUUUCGUGUUCUCUUAUUUUGUCCCGUAUCAAGAUCAGAUAAGCAUCCUGCAUCUACAUAACCAAUCAUUUCUGACUUGGAUUCAUUUGAAUAAAAUAAUCCCAAGUCAAUGGUUCUCCGAAGAUAUCUGAGUAUAUGCUUGACACCAUUCCAAUGUCUAUUAGUUAGGGAAGAGCUGAAUGUUGCCAAUAAACUUACCGUAAAACAAAUAUCUGAUCGCAUAUUAUUGGUUAGAUACAUUAGUGCUCCGAUUGCACUGAUAUAUGGAGUUUCAUCACCAAGAAGAUUUUCAUCACUUUCUUUAGGUCGAAAUGAAUAUUUGUUUAUACCAAGCGAUCUCACAACCAUUGGGGUACUCAAUGAAUGUGCUUUAUCCAUAAAAAUCUCUGUAAAAUAUUUUCAGUAUAUGUGAAUUGAUGGACAAAUAUUCCAUUUGUAAAAUGUUUAAUUUGUAGAUCAUGACAAAAUUUUGUCUUUCCGAGGUCUUUUAUUUCAAAUUCUUUUUUCAAAUAUUCUACUAUCUUUGAAAGCUCUUCAGGAGUUCCAAUGAUAUUCAAAUAAUCAACAUAUACAUCUAUUAUAAUAAAUUCAGAUCCAGAUCUUUUAAUAAAGACACAAGGACAAAUUGGGUCAUUUUUAUACCCUUUUUUUAAUAGGUAUUCGCUAAGGCGAUUAUACCAUAUGCGUCUUGAUUUUUUUAAUCCGUAUACGGAUUUAUGAAGCUUGAUUAAACAAUUUUCUCGAGAAGUUUUAUAUGCAUCAGACAUUUUGAAUCCUUCAGGAAUUUUCAUAUAAAUAUUACUGUCAAAUGAGCCAUAUAAGUAGGCAGUGACAACGUUCAAAACAUGCAUAUCAAGUUUUUCAUGAACUGCCAAAUUAAUAAGAUACCUAAAGGUCAUUGUAUCCACCACCGGAGAAUAUAUCUCCAUAUAAACAAUGUCAGGUCUUUGCGAAAAUACUUGUGCCACAAGUCGUGCUUUAUAUCUUACGGCUCCAUUUUUCUUAUUUCGUUUUCGUACAAAAACCCAUUUGGACCCCACUGGCUUUAUACCUUCAGUUGUUUGGACUAUAGGUCCAAAAACUUUGUAUUUUUCAAGCAAAGUCAAUUCAAUUUUGACUUCAUCUUUCCAUUUUUGCCAAUCAUUUCUCUAUCUACAUUCUUUGACAGAUUUUGGUUCAAGAUCCUCAUAUUGUUGCAUAUUUCAUUAGCAAUAUUAUAAGCAAAAAUAUUAUCGAUAAUUACAUCAUUUCAAUUUCAUGUUUUUCUUGAUGAGACAUAACUGACUGAGAUCUCUUUAUUUUCAUUAUUUUCAGGUACCUGAACCUCUUCUGAGGUUUCAUCAAUUGUUAUGUCUUGCUGCUCUUCAUGAGUAGCUUCUUCCAUAUUAUGAUUAUUUUGAUCAUUUGCUCAUCUUUUUUUAAAUUUUUUUUUUAUCUUUAGAACUGAUUGGUCUACCACGUUUUAAGUGGGUUAGACUCACUUGCAUUACUCAAUUGUCCUAUCGGGACAUCAACUCGAAUAGGAGCAUUAGCAGUUGGAAUAUGAGAUUUUGUAAUUCUUGAUAGGCCAGUGAAUGCAUCUGGCAGUUGAUUUGCAAUAUUGUGCAAAUGAAUUAUCCUUUGAAAUUCUAGUUCACAUUUAUUUGUACGAGUAUCUAAGUGAGAUAUUAAUAAUGCAUUCCAGUCUAUCUCCUUUUCCAACUGCUUAUUUUCUCCCCCUAAUGUUGUGUAUAUUGUUUCAUCAGAAUGACAAUCAACAAAUCUUUCUGUAAAUAAAUCUCCAGUCAUAGGUUCCAAAUAUUUUACAAUAGAAGGAGAUUCAUACCCAACAUAUAUUCCCAAUCUUCUUUGAGGAUUCAUUUUUGUGCGUUGUGGUGGAGCAAUUGGAACACAUACCGCACAUCCAAAAACUUUUAGAUGGAAAAUAUUUGGCUCUUGUCCAAAAAUUAAUUGUAAUGGGGAGAUGUUAUGAUAACUUGUGGGCCUUAUCAGCACAAGAGCUGCUGCAUGCAAAAUAACAUGACCCCAUAUCGAAAUGGAAAGUUUUGUUCUCAUAAGCAUUGAUCUAGAGAUUAUUAGAGGCGUUUAAUCAAUGAUUCUGCUAGACCAUUUUAAGUAUGAACAUGGGCAACCGUUUGUUCAACUGUUAUUCUAGUUGAUAUACAAUAAUCGUUAAAAGCCUGGGAUGUAAAUUCACCCGCAUUAUCAAGACGAAUUGUCUUUAUUGUAUAAUCUAAAAAUUGUGCUCUUAAAUUUAUUAUUUGAGCAAGUAAUCUCGUAAAUGCCAAAUUACGAGUUGAUAAUAAAUACACAUGUGACCAUCUUGUAGAUUCAUCUAUUAAAACCAUAAAAUAUUUAAAUGGUCCAUAUGAAGGGUGAAUGAGCCCACAUAUAUCACCCUAUAUACGUUCCAGAAAUGCAGAGGAUUCAAUUCCCACUAUUAAUUUUCCUUGAGAACAUGCAACACAAGAAAAUUCUUUAAAUUGAAGAAUAUUCUGGUUCUUCAAUGAGUGUCCAUAUGAAUUCUCAAUUAUUUUGCGCAUCAUAUUAGAAUCGGGAUAGCCCAACCGAUCUAAUAAUUAGUAUUCAUUGAAUGUGUAAAAGCAAAUUUGUAAAGUUUCAAAAAAGAAUUUUAAUUGAUAAAUUAGUAAAAUUAUUUUCUCAUUUAUAAAUUCUCAAGAAGCGUGCAAAAGUAAAAGUAAUCAAAUAGUAGUCUUGCUAGAUUGUAAAUCUUUACUUGGUAAUCAAUGGAAGUUGUUAAUUAUAAAAAAGGAAAAAAAAUUAUUUUUGACAUAAGAGUAUUUGGAGCUUAACUUAAAACAUAGUGUAUGAAGCUUAACUUAAAAAUUAGUGUAUGGAAUUAGACUUGCAGACAUUUGCUUGUUCAAGCAGAUUUUAGAUAUUUUUAUUGAAAUUUGUCUAUGUCGUUUUCAACAUUUGAAGUUUAAUUUUACCAGUUUCAAACAUCAAAUAUUUUAUGUGAAGUUUGUUUUAACAAACCUAAACUUCAUGUAUUUUUGUUUUGUCUUGAAUUCACAAAUUUUAGACAUUCUUCUUUGAAUUUUAACUUGACAAUUCAAAGUUGUAAAUAUCUCACUUAAGAUCCUCAUUUUAUUUUGUUUUGCUGGUCAUGAUACUAUUGGAAAAUAGGCAUACACAACGGAGGCUAAUAGAUAAGAUCACUUGCAUAUAAUAUGGACGACCAACAUAAACACAUAGAUCAUGCAAAGGAUGCUUAAAAUUAAUAAAGAAUAUCUCUUGAAGCGUGAAAAGAUAUCUUGAAGCAAAUAUGUCUUUGAAUCUGCAGUCUUCUAUAGUGAUCCCAAAUUCACAACCAAACUCUCACAAUACUUGGAUGGGCAAGUACUGAAUAGAAAACUUAUUCCAUUUUUAGACUAGGUAAAACACCUAUUUAUAGAGAUACUCUCCCAGUCCAAGGAGGAAAGAAAAACACACGCUUGUUUCUACUUGAACAAGGACAGAUGAUAACUUCUCCUUUUUCCAUAGAAAAUAGAAUUUAGAGUUCUAGUAUAAUAUGGACAUUCCAGAGACUACAAAAUUAGCUAUUGAGGCUCCCUAUAUGGAAAUGAUUUAAAACACUAAUUUGAAUUAUUCUUACCAUAAUAAAUUAUGAAUUAUUACACUAAAAAUACAUAAUUGCACUCACUCCUCUAUUUUUAUUUUGAAAUUCUCCAUUAAACACUUAUUUAAUUUUCUAUGUUAAGAUUAUAUAUAUUAAUCAAUAAAUUAAAUAUUACUGACGAAUUUAAUAUAAUGAUUAAUUUCCUUUAGAGCAAUUGUAACGACCUAAAAAUUUGAUGAAAUAUGUGAAAUUUGUGAUGUGAUAAUUUUAUCCCUUCCCGUAGUUGCAUUAUGAUAUUUCUGGAGUGUGAGAGUGAUUGACAUAAUUUUUGAUUCAUUUUGCUAUCAUUUAUGCAAUAUUGUGGUUUUUGAUGGCUUCGAGAGCCUUAUUUUGGACUUAUGUGGAUAUCUUUUAAUUCGUACGACAGAUGACUGAACGGACUAUGCCAGUAGAUCCGAAAUAUUGAUUUUAGGAUAGGUAGACCUUUGGUUUGGGUAUCAAUGCACCUGAGCUCAUUUUGACCUAUUGGUCGGAAAGUUGGAAAAUUAAAAAUAUAGUUGUGGGACCCACAUUUGAUUGAAAAGACCUCAGAUGGGAAAUACGGCUUCACCAGCAGAUCCAAAAUAUUGAUUUUAGGGUGUUAGCAUAUUUGGUGUGAUUUUACGACUUUUAAAUCUCAUUUCGACCCUCGAUUUGAAAAAUUGUAAUUUCAGAUUUGGGGGUCAAUUUUAUGAAAAUAAUAUUUUUUUGAAAAUAUGAUAUCGAAAACGUGUUCGUAAUGUCAAAUUUAGUGUGGUUUUAUAGUUCGUUUGUGUAUAUCAGACUCCGAACGAAUCUUGAGCAUCCCGUUGAAGUCCGUUUGGACUUGGGAAAAAAAUGCAGCUUUUCUUUACUUUGCUGGUGCAGAUUUUCUGCACCAUUAAAAUUAGUUUCGGGCUCAUUUUUCCUCAUUUUUCCUCUUGUCUCUUGAGAGUUAAACCUAAAUAGUUUGAGAACUUAAAAGUGAAGCUUGUGGGAUCUUGGGAAGCUAGAUUAAAAUCUAUUUCUUGAUUUUAUUAUUGAUUUAAUAUAAGAAUUCACCCUUUCCUUAAUAAUUUCUUGAUUAAUUUUUCAAACCCCCCAAAAUCUUAGAGUUUGAUUUUAAACCCUAUUUUCACUCUUUUUCACUCGAAUAAUAUUUUUAUCUUAUAAUUACUAGUUUUUUUUUUAUCAAUUUAAUCUUUAAAACUACUCAGAUUCUUGAUUUUAACCCGAUUCAGAUUCUUGAUUUUAACCCGAUUUUCAAGAUUUUACCCAAUAAAGCUCAAAAAUAAUUUUUCUUCGAUUUAAACUCCGUUUUUGACUCAAUUUAACUUGAUUUUUCAGUACUUGAGGAACCUAAAGCUGAAAAAUCAAAUAUAUUUCAUAUUUGAUGUUUUUAGUGGAGUUUGGUAUUGUUCGUGAAAAGUAAGGUCGCGGAUUUAAUUGUAGUGGAUCGGUUUUGGCUUUUGAGGUAGGUUAUGGCUUAACUUUUUCAGACUGGAAUGGAUAGUAAAAGAUGAUACAAAAUGCAUGUUAAAGGUAGAAAGUAAUCAUGAAAAUGUGGCUACUUAUGUGCUGUGCCCGUGCGGUGGUAUAUAUGUGAUGUAAUUAUCGAAAUUGAGUUAUUAUGUGAUAUGUGUGACCGUGUGGGGUCCUAUGUUAUAUUAAUAGACUUGAAUACAUAUGAAUAAUUUUAUUGUGUUGUUAAAAUGAUUAAUGUGGUACCAUUGGUGUAUUGUGAUUAUAUUUAUAUCUUAUUGACAUAUGAGACAUGUGGAAAUUCAUGGAUGAAAUGAAAAUGAUGAGUGGAUAUUGGCUCAUAUGAUUGUGGAAAUCUAUCAUUGUGGUUGGUUGUGAAAAUAUAUCACGUGGUUGAUUAUGGAAAUACUCAUUGUGAUUGGUUGUGAGCAUUACAUCUUCAUAUCAUACUCAUUUAUGAAACAUUAGUACCACCGUGACAAUAUUUGAGAAACAUCGGCAACACCUUUUUAAAAGAUAUUGUACCACCUUAUAAAACACUUUUAAAGGGAUGUUCCAGAAAGGAGACAUGAGAUAUGUGGAUUGUAUACGGGUUGACGAACCCCCCAUGGGUCCUGUGUUGGGAGGAUUACCUCUGUAGGUGUAUACGGAGAUUGUGCGACGAUCCCAGAGGUUGUGCGAUGACCUCGUGCAUCAUCAUCAUAUACAUUUCACUUACUUUAUUGUGUUAUGUUGUGUUGUAUUGGCAUAUUGACUUGUCAUCUAUGUAUUUAUCAUAUCUUCUUUCUCUUGUAUUUGAUGAUCUUGUAUAUACAUGUUCCCCUUGUUCUUUUUAUAUGUGAUAUAAUACAUACUUUUGUUCUAUCUUGGUGUGAUGUUGCAAUAUAUGUGAGAUAUAUUAUAACUAUUAGUGCAAGCGGUGUGGGCUAUCAUUGUGUGACAUUUUUUGAUUGCAGGUGACGUGCCCUUAGUGUAUAUUUUGUAUGCUUUAUUUACUACUUUGCUUGGUCGGCCUAUGAUAACUGCUUGGUCGGCCUAUGAUACCUACUGAGUACAAGUGGACCAUACUCAUGCCUACUGCGCCCUUUCGGUGCAUGUCUUAGCUUGAGUGUUCCUCAGCUUGAUUGACUCGGGCGAUUGUUCGAGCUUCCAAGGUAGCGGUUGAACAUUCAUACGUCCGAAGUUCACCUCUAUCUUUCUAUAGUAGUUAUGUCUUUAUUAGUAUUCGGAGGCAUUUAUUAUUCCUUUACGGUUAUUUUUUUGAUGUAUUUGACUCUUGUAUUAUAUUAGUAGUUCUUACACUAUUGACACCUGGUUUUGGGCAUGAUUGGUAUUUUGGAUAAGUUCUUUCCGCAUUGUUAUGAUUACCUUUAUGGUUCGUCUUGAUUCUAGAAGCCUUACCUUGAGAUAUUUCUGUCUUUUUCCUUUUUUUUUGUAUCAGUUUGGGUGAUAGGCUUACUUAUCAAGGUACGCCGCAACAAGUGCCAUCAUGAACGUCAUUUUUGGGUCGUGACCGCAAUGCUUAACUUAUUUCGUAUAUCAGAUUCAUAAAUCUACUGCUAGAUUUACAUAUGAAAACUUAUACGCUUCUUAUAAAAGGCGUAUCAUGAAUCUCUAUAUUGAGACAUGAAUUUUAUCAACUAACUUAUUAUUUCACCAAUAUAUAUUAUUAUCAUCUAAUCUAUCAGGAAUAUUGUAAGACCCCAUAAAUUUUUCUAGUCGUUAGAGCUUUUAAAGCAUGCCAAGAAAGUCUUAGCAUUCAAAAAUUUGGCUAAAUGUUGGAAUUUUCUUUAUUCCAUAAGCCUGCAAAACUUUGACGAAUUAUUUCUGACCUUCCCGACCUCUGAUUCUUAAAUUUCUUAUUGUAUUGUGAUGGGACAAGUCAAUAGUACAUCUCGGGCGAGUUUUGGAUUUAUAUUCAAAUUUUAGUUGUUUUGGGUAUUCAUUACCCCUAUGGAUGUCAUGUUUUGACAUAUUCUUUAUUCAGUCGAACCUUAUGUCCUAUUGUUCAUGUUUUCCAUAUUUUAUAUGUUAUAUAUUGCAGUAUACAGGUACAGAUAUCAGUCAUGGGUUAGCUUGUGGUCCUUCGGGGUUAUGAGCACUGUGUAGUGUUCCGAUUCAAAAAAUAUCCAGGGCAUUACAAACUUGGUAUCAGAGCCUAAGGUUCAGUAGUCCUAGGAAGUCUGAAAGACGCAUCUAGUAGAGUCUUAUGCAUGGGUGUGUUGUGCGCUAUAUUUAUUUGUAGGAGGCUAUGAGAUGUUUUAGGAAUAGUUUUCCUUCUUUCAGUGUUCAUGUCGUGCUAGUGAGCAUAAUCUCAAGUUAAACUCUUAGUCUAAUCCGUUCUUCUCUUAUUUCAAAAUUUGUCUCCAAAGAGACGAAACCAGCUAGCUCCUCAGCCCGAAGAUCCUUUGGGUGAACACAUUUCUCAUGUGGAGUUUAGAGUUACAUUCACCAUACUUACUCUGUAUGUGGCUUCCCAGAAUGAAUGACCACCAGUUAUUCAGGCCAAUCUAGUGGUCAACUCAUCUGCAGUUAGGAUUUGAGACUUCACCCGAAUGAACCCUCCAUCUUUCUUCGGGUCUAAGUCUGAUGAAGACCCUCAGGAGUUCAUUGAUCAAGUCCAUAAGGUCACUGACAUAUGGGUGUUACUUCUAUUGAGAGUGUUGAGUUAGCCGCCUAGCAGUUGUAAGAUGUGGCUCAUACUUGGCACAAACAGUAGAAGUCUAAGAGGUUAGAGGAUGUAGGUCCUAUUGAGUGGGCGGAAUUUGUCAUAGCUUUCUUAGAUAGAUUCUUUCCCCAAGAGCUGAGGGAGGCCAAAGUUCUUGAGUUUAUUAACCUCAGAUAGGGAAAUAUGACGGUUAAGGAGUAUUCUCUUAGAUUUACUCAGUUAGCCAGAUAUGCCCCUCAUGUGGUUGCAGACAGCAGGGCUAAGAUGAGCAAGUUUGUGUCAGGGGUGAAUGAUAACGGGGUGAAUGAGUGUAGGUCUGCGAUGCUGAACAGUGAUAUGACCUUAGCCAUACUCAUGACCCAUGUUCAACAGAUAGAGGAGCAGAAGGUUAGGACUAGGGAAAGGCAGAACAAAAGAGCAAGAUCAGGUAGUUUCAAUUUUGCUCAGCCUCUAAUCAGAGGAAGAAAACCGUUCGCAGUUUUAUCCCAAGUUAGUAGUUCCAUACCCUUUCUCCGCCACUGCCCAGUGCCAAAAUUCAGAGAUGGAAAUAGAGAUAGAGCACCAGGCUCUAAGUCUUAGGGCAGUGUUAUCAGUGCCCACACUUAUCCUCAGUGUCAGACUUGCGGUAAGCACCAUCAGGGUGUAUGUAGAACGGGUAGUGGUAUUUGUUUCGAUUAUGGCAAACCAGGCCACAGAGUUAGAGACUGUCCUCAGCCAGGUCCUCAGGGUCAUUAGAACCAUUCCAUAGCUCAGUCCGGUUGCCCAAACCCGUAGGGUACCACUUCCAGUGCUACUAGUGGGCAACGCCUAAAUAGACUCUACGCUCUUCAGACUUGAUAAGAUCAGGAAAAUUCUCCUGAUGUCGUUAUUGGUACUUUACAGAUUUUCCAUGAUCAUGUUUAUGCUUUGUUAGACCCAGGUGCAUCCUUGUAUUUUGUUACUCCUUUCAUAGCAGGCAAUUUUGGAAUCAGUCCUAAAAUUUUAGCAGAGACCUUUUCAGUCUCUACCCCAGUGGGUAAAACCAUCAUAGCUCGGCGGGUAUACAGGAACUGCCCGUUUAUGAUAUUUCAGAAAUCCAUAUCAGCAAAUUUAAUCGAGUUAGAGAUGACUGAUUUUAAUGUCAUUCUUGGCAUGGAUUGGCUUCAUUCCUUCUAUACCAUAGUCGAUUGCAUAAAUAGGAUAGUUCAGUUUUAGUUCCCGAAUAAGCCCGUCCUAGAGUGGAAGGGCAGUACUUCAUCUUUCAGGGGUCAGCUUAUUUCCCACCUUCAGGCAAGGAAAAUGAUUUCUAAGGGGUGUGUGUAUUAUCUCGUGCAUAUUAAAGACUCUGGUUCCGAAUCUCCCAGUAUUGAAUCAAUUUCAAUUGUUAAUGAAUAUUCAAACGUCUUUCCCAAAGAUCUUCCAAGCAUUCCUCCCAAAAGAGAAAUAGACUUCGGCAUAGACCUUCCGCCAGAUACUCUACCCAUUUCUAUUCUGCCUUACAGAAUGGCACCAGCAGAACUCAUGGAACUAAAAUAUUAGUUAAAGGAUCUCUUAGAUAAGGGAUUCAUCAGGCCCAGUAUGUCCCCAUGGGUACACCAGUGUUAUUCGUGCACAAUAAAGAUGGUUCUCUUAGGAUAUGUAUUAAUUACCGUCAGCUCAAGAAAGUCACGAUUAAGAACAGGUAUCCACUUCCUAGAAUAGAUGACUUGUUUGACGAACUUCAGGGCGCCAGUUAUUUCUCCUAGAUAGACCUCAAAUCAGGUUAUCAUUAGCUCAGAGUUAGAGAAUGCGACAUCUCGAAGACAGCUUUCCGUACUCGGUAUGGUCACUUCGAAUUUCUAGUCAUGUCCUUUGGUAUAACCAAUGACCCUACAGCUUUCAUGGACUUUUCGUACUUGGUAUGGUCACAUCAUGAAUUUCUUGUCUGAAGAGUUUUCAAGAGUUGAAGACUCGACUUACUAUAACUCCAGUUCUAGCUCUUCCAGAGGGUUCAGAUGGGUUCGUAGUAUAUUAUGAUGCAUUUAGAGUGGGUCUAGGUUGUGUCCUUAUGAAGCAUGGUAAGGUCAUAGCCUACGCCUCCAGAGAGUUAAAGCCCUAUGAGAAGAAUUAUCCUACUCAUGAUCUUGAGUUAGAAGCCGUAGUAUUUGCCUUAAAGAUUUGGAGGCAUUAUCUAUACAGAGUUCAUGUUGAUGUCGUCACAGAUCAUAAAAGUCUUCAGUAUAUCUUUUCUUAGAAAGAUCUCAAUUUUUGUCAGAAAAGGUGGUUAGACCUUUUGAAAGAUUAUGAAAUGAGUGUCCUUUAUCAUCCAGGCAAGGCCAACAUUAUGGCCGAUGCUCUCAGUAGACUUUCCAUGGGUAGUAUUUAUCACAUUGAGUAUAGAAAGAAGAAGAUAGCUCAGGAGAUCCAUUAGCUUGCUAGACUAGGCGUUCACUUAGUCGACUCUUCAGAGGGUGGUGUAUGUGUUCAGAGUAGUUCAGAGUCAUCUCUAGUUUUCGAGGUAAAAGAAAAGCAAGACAGGGAUCCUAGCCUUGUCAAGCUAAAAGAGUCAGUUCAAGAUUAGAAAGUUGAGGUUUUCUCCCAAGGGGGAGAUGGUGUUCUUCGUUGUUAAGGUCGUAUGUGUGUUCCAGGUGUAGAUGACCUAAGGUAGCAAUUCUGGAAGAAGCGCAUGGUGCACGCUACUCUAUUCAUCCAAGAGCCACUAAGAUGUACCGCGACUUGUGGGAGAUCUAUUUGUGGAGUGGGAUGAAGAGAGAUAUUGCAGAUUUUGUGGCUAAGUGCUCUACAUGUCACCAGGUUAAGAUAGAGCAUAAAAAAUCUAAUGGUUCCAUGCAAGAGUUCACCAUUCCUACUUGGAAGUGGGAAGAAGUGAACAUGGACUUCGUGAUGGGUUUUCCUAGAACUCGUUAUCAACAUGAUUUAGUUUGGGUCAUUGAUGACAGAAUGACCAAGUCAGAUCAUUUUCUCCCAGUUCGUACUUCUUAUUCAGCCGAAGAUUAUGCCAAACUCUAUAUCAGGGAGUUGGUCAGAUUACACGGUGUCCCACUAUCUAUCAUCUCAGAUAGAGGUACCUAGUUCACCUCUCAUUUUGGAAAGCAUUCCAAAAGGGUCUUGGUACCCAAGUCUAUCUCAAUAUAGCGUUUCAUCCUCAGACAAAUGGUCAAGCAAAAAGGACCAUUCAGAGUCUCGAAGAUAUGCUAAGGGCGUAUGCAGUUGAUUUCAAGGAAAGUUGGGAUGACCACUUAUCUUUAAAUGAAUUUGCAUACAAUAAUAACUAUCAUUCUAGUAUUCAGAUGGCUCCAUUCGAAGCUCUCUAUAGUAGGAGGUUUGAAGUUAGUGAGGCCUCAUUCAUAGGUCCUGACGUGGUAUUCGACGCCUUAGAGAAAGUUCAGUUGAUCAAAGAGAGACUCCAGGCUGCUUUGAGCCGACAAAAGUCUUAUAUAGAUGUUCGUAGAAAGUAUUUUGAGUUCGAGGUAAAUGAUUAUGUCUAUCUUAAGAUCUCUUCUAUGAAGGGAGUAAAGAGGUUCGGCAAGAAAGAGAAACUCAGUCCCUGAUAUAUCGAUCCCUUCAGGAUUCUCAAUCGCUUUGGCAAGGUAGCUCAUGAGCUUAAAUUGCCUUCAGAUCUUGCCUCAGUUCAUCCAGUUUUCCAUGUCUCUUUGCUCAAGAAGUACAUAGGUGACCGAAUAGUUGUAGUCCCUAUUCAGAGCUUUGACGUUCAGAAUAGCCUCACUUAUGAAGAGAUUCCCAGUUGAAAUCUUAGACUAUCGGAUUCAUCGUUUGAGAAACAAAUAAGUCUUAUGAGGGAGCUACUUAGGAAGUAGAAGCAGAUAAGCAUACCAAGUAUCCUCACCUAUUCUCCACCUAUUCAGAUCAAGCUCAAGGUAAUCCUUAAGCUUAUUCAGUUUCAUGUUCAUGUUCCCAUCAUAAACUUGGUACCUAUUACCAUAGCAUACUCAGUCAUGCAUUCAUGUCUCAGUUUAGUUAUAAAAUCAUGCAUCAGCUAUAAAUUCUCAUCUUAAGAAACUUAGUUUAUCAGAUUGCUCAGUUAUGUAUUCAUGUAUCAGUUAUCCAUGCAUAAGAUAUGCAUAAGUUUAGUAUGUUUAGUAUGUCAAUUAUGAAGGCAUGUCUCAGUCAUGCAUGUUCAGUUCAUGUUCAGCUUGUCUUUUAUCCCCUCUCAAUUGAUUAUCAUUCGAGGAUGAAUGUUCCUAAGGAGGAGAUAUUGUAAGACCCCAUAAAAUCCUAAGUCUAGAACUCAGCUCAUUUGGCUCUACAAGCCUCAAGACUUAGCAAAUUUUGAUAAAGUUUAACACUUAGUCUCAUUUUAGACCUCCAAACCUUGAGGAUUUAUUUGAAGACCUUCUCGACCUUUGUUUUUGGGGUUUUUAGUUGUGUUGUGAUAGGGCAAGGUCGUAGUACAUCCCGGGUAAGUUUUGGAAGUUUUUGGAUAGCGUAAGGCCACGUUUAGGUGCCCAUAAUAGUAGCUCAGGGCGAUAAGCCCGCGCCGCCCUGGCAAGAGCACUGCUCUAAGCCAGGAGAUGCCUUGGCUAGUUCGGCGAACUUUCCAGGCGACGCCUGCUAACUCUGGUGGUACCCAUGUUUUUAAGCAUUCUACCUUCACAUUUUUAAGGGUAUUUUGGUCAUUCUCCAUCCAUAUAUAAGCUUGUAAACAUGGGAUUUAAGCUCCAAGACACCAAAAUAUUGUGCUUUUGUUGAAUUCCUCUCAAGAACAACCAAGAACAAGUCUAGAGUUCAAUUGGGGGUUUCAAGUUCCAAGCAAAUUCAACCGUAGAUUUCACGAAUUAUUAUUCUAAGGUAUGUGCAGUGUUCAUCCAUGGAUUCCUUUCAUCUGUGGAGUUCAAGAAUCAAUCUUUAAAUACUAAAUCAUGAAUGUUUUGGGGUGAUGUGAGUAUACUCAUGUUGGUGGUUGUUGUUUGUGCUAUAGAGUAGUAGUUUGAUGGAUUUUCAUGAAGGUUAUGAUCAUGUAGUUGGAACCCAUAAAGUUGAUGGUUUAAUUUAGAAAAAUUCAUGAACACACUAUGCCUUAAAGAGUGCAUGCAAGGUGUUUGAUAAAAUGCUUACAAUGCUAGAAAUUCAUGUUUACAUGGUCCCAUAUUAUCUACAUGACAAGUCCAUGUUAACUAUAUAAUGCAAUAUGAGUUCUAUGCCAUUGUUUUGUUGCUAUUGUUGUGGUAUGAAGAAUUUAUGAUAAUUGAGUGAUACAAUAUGUACAUGAUAUAUAUUCCAUGCACUCCCUACCAUGUACAAGAUGUUGAAAACUACAUGUGGUAUAUUAUCCCCUACUUAUGAUAUUAUGAAUUGUGGACUCCAAUCUUGUGAUCAAGUCAUGUUAUGCGUGUCAGUUUCCUUCUAUCAAGUCCUGGGGAUAUUCAUACCCAAAAAAUAUAGUUGUGUGCUUAGAUCCAUGUCAUGUUUCACGAUAUCCAGAAUCAAGCCAUGAUUCAGUAAAAUUCAGUAAGUCAUGUGACUCAGGAAAACCUCAUGAUCUCAAUCAGUUAUCAGAUAUCAGUAGAAUUUCAUCAAUCAACGGAAUUCAGUAAGUUCAGUUCACGUACAGUUAGUUAAGUCAUGUUCAGUCACUUCAGAUGGGAGUAGGAGCUAGCACCGAGUGAACCCCAGGAUGGGAACUCACCUGUUAUAUAAAGGUUUCUCAUAUGUUGUCCUUACCGAUGGUGCGGUAUUAACACCCUCCUAGUCAGGGCAGAGAUUGGACCCCAGCUUAGCUAUAAUGGCAUAUAUGGGGCAUGUCGGUUAAACAACUACAUCCCAUAGUUUCAGUAUCAGUCUCAAUAAAUGAACUCAGAUAGUUCUUCAGAUGUCAGUAUAUCAGGACUGUCAGAUACAGUCAAAUAUAGUUAUAGUACGGAACUCAGAUAGUUUCAUCAGACUCAGGACUGUCAGACAUAGUCACCCAUGUUAUCAAAACUACAUUAUCAUCUAUGUCAUUUAUUAUUAAACCAUGUAUUACCGUACAGAUUUGACUAUCACAUAUUCACGAUUCCAGUUACUAUGUACGCAUGUUUGCACUCUCACGUUCAUAUAAGUCAGUCAGUUAGCCUUGUUCAUGCAUGUAAACCCUGUUUAUAUUUAUCCUACCUCACUCGUAUACUUAGUACAUUCCCAUAUACUGACGCAUUUGUGCUAUGGUGCUUUACUUUUAUGUUACACCAUAGGUUCACAGACACAAGAUCUAGAUCAGCAGUAGCAUCUCAGUCGUAGAGUUGCAGUGAGUCCUUAUUCAUUCGAGGAUGAUAUUAUUCAUUUAUUAUUUCAGUUAGCUUUCAGUUUACAGAGUUAGUUGGAGACAUAUUCCUUCAACUCCUUAUUUCAGAUAGUACUUAGAGACUUUUAGAUUUAGUUCAGAAUUAGUCCAGAUUUAUAUUUAGGUUUUAGUUGUUUUGGGUAUUCAUUGCCCCUAUGGAUGUCAUGUUUUGACAGAUUCUUUAUUCAGUUAAACCUUAUGGCCUAUUGUUCAUGUUUUCUGCAUUUUAUAUAUUAUAUAUUGUAGUAUACAGGUACAGAUAUCAGUCAUGGGUUAGCUGUGGUCCUUCGGGGUCAUGAUCACCGUGUAGCAUUUUGGUUCAGAAAAAAUUAGGGCGUUACAUUUAGAUACAAAGUUCUAAACUUUGAUCCUAGUAAGUUAUAAUUAUAUGAUGUUCAAGAAAAAUGCCCUUCAAGUUAUAUGUUAAUUGAUGUAUUCUUGAUAAUUAGGUGUAGAAAUUGUUGAAUAACUAAAGCAUGCUUCCCAUAUGUUUGAUAAAAUGCUUGUGUGAAGAAAAUUGGUACAUUGUAGCAUGUUGAAUAAAAAUCCCCAAAUUUUGUAUAAGUCAUGUAUGCCAAGUGUUUGUUGAAAAGCCUUAGUAAAUGAAUUGUGACAUGUUAGCAUGAAAUCCCCUAAUACGUACACUUUUAAUGCAUGUUAAGUGUUUGAUGCAAGAUCUCGUUGAAUGAAGUAUGAGCCAAUAGCAUGUUUCCCUAUACUAUCAUAUGUUUAUGAUUUCCGAGUGCUUGAAGAGAUGCUUUAAUGAUUGUAAUGGUGAUUGAAAGCCCAUGGUCAUGAUUAUUUCAAGUAUAGUUAUAUUUUACUUUUAUAUUAUCGAGUCCUGGAGGUAUUUAUACCCAAAAUUUAGCUGCUUGUCUAGAUCCGAGUAUGUCUCAAGAUUAUCUCAGUCGUGCUACUAUCAGUAGAACUCGAUCAGUUGCUAAAUUUAGGAAAUCUCGAUAAUCUCAAUGUCAUUAGCAUUCCAGCUUCACUCCAGUACUCAGCUUAGAUCUUAGUAAUAUUCAAUUCAGACCUCAGUAGUGUUCAAGUAUCCAAUUUAGAACUCAGUAGCAUUCAUCAAACAUCAAACUCCAGCAAUAGUUCACCAGUCUUUGGAAUCAAGUGAACUCAGCUUAGCUCAGUUAAUCUGUGCAAUCAGUAAUAGAUUCAGCUCAGUCUAGUACAGUUUAAGAAAAAGAAUCAGUUCAGAGUCUUUCAGUUGGGAGUAGGAUUUAGCAUCGAGCAAACCUAGAGAUGGAGGCUCACCCGUUAGAUAGGACUGAGAUCCCUAGGAGCAAUCCCAAGGUUACAGAACUACGUAGCCAGCGUAGGUAUGAGAUGUCACCCACUAGAUAGGACUGACAUACUCAGGGGUCUCUCGUUAGAUAGGACUUCUCCCAGGAGUCACCUAUUAGAUAGAACUGACUCCAUAAAUUGUCUUUACCUUUGGCAUGGUACUGACACCCUUCCAACUGAGGUUACAGGUUGGACCCUAACUUAGAUAGUAGGGGCAUGUCGUUAGAUGAAUACUUCCUACAGUUUUAGUUUCAGAAGUAGUCUCAGUAAAAGAACUCAGCUUAGUAGUACAGAUUUAGGACUGCCAGAUACAAUCAAUCUUUAUCACUAUAAAUAGACUCUGGGAUCACUCAUUAGAGAAGACUAAUCUCCAUGAUAGUCAAUCAGUAUUAGUAUCAUCAGAUUCAGAGAUCACUCGCCAGAUAAAACUAGUAUCAGGCUAAGCCAAGUCAUCUUUAUUAUCAGUAUAUUCAGAGGUCACCCACUAGAUAGAACAGAUCUCAGAAUUAGUCACCCAUUCUCACUAUCAUUAAGUUCAGAGAUCACCCACUACAUAGGAUUGAUCUCAACCUCAAUUUUAAGUUAUCAUCAUCAGUAGAUUCAGUUAUUUAAUAACUUAGUGUUAGUAAUCCCAGAUGUCAGUAAAGCAAUAUUCAAAUCCUCAGUAUUCAGUGUCCCUAUGAUUAUAGUUAUAGUUUAUGCAUUCAUGCACGCAUUCUUAUUCAGCAUGCUCAGAUUAUUCAGUCAGUAUUGAUCAUGAAUAGUCCCUUACAUUUAUCCUUACCUCAUCUUGCGUACCAGUAUAUUCAAUUGUACUCACGUAUUUGCACUAUGGUGUUUUAGUUUAUGCCAUAGGUUUAGAAACACGAGUUCCAGAGCACCCCUAGUAGACCAGAUCUAGUUAAUAACAGUAGAUCUAGCGGCGAGUCCUUAUCAUUCAAGGAUAGUUUUUAUUUUAUUUUAUUACUAGUUUCAAUAUUUUAGCAGUUGGAUCUAGUUGGGGACAUGUCCCAUCAACUCCUUAUUUAGACAGUUUAGAAACUUUCAGACUAAAGCAUUUUUUUUUUCAGAUUAGUUAUACAGAUAGCUAUUUUAGUUUGAUGUUGAUAGAUUUUAUUUAGUUUUAUUUUAGUAUUUGAACCUUAUGGCAAGUUUCCACCAGUUUUCUGCAUUAUUUAGUAUUUUUAUAUAGUUAUUGCAGCAGGUGCCAGAUAAGGGUUAGCUUAUGGUUCUUUGAGAUUAUGAGCACCGUGUGGCGGUCUAGUUAUAGAAAAUCGAGGCAUUACAAACUUGGUAUCAGAUCCUAAGGUUCAAUAGUAUCCUAGGAAUUCUGAAAAGUCGUAUUAAGUAGAGUCUUGUGCGUGGGUGUGUUGCGCGCCACAUUUAUGUACAGGAGGCUAUAAGGUUUUUUAGGAAUGGUUUCCCUUAUUUCGGUAUUCAUGUCGUGCUAGUGAGCAUAGGCUCAAACUUAAUUCUCAGUCUAAUCCUUUUUCUUCCAUUUUCAAAACAUGUCUCCCAAGAAAAGAAUAGGAAAUCAGACAGCCCCUCAGCCUGUUGAUCCCCAGAAUGAGAGUGUGUUACAUGCCAAGUUUAGAAUAGAUUUUUAAGCACUAGCCCAAGAGGUGACAACUACUGUGCAGGCCAAUAAUUAGGCUGCUGCUCCUCAAUAGCAGGGUGAUGAUGUAGCCGCAGCCAGACUCCAUGACUUUAAUAUAAUGGACCCUCUUGAGUUCUUUAGGUCUAAGGUAGGUGAGGACCUACAGUUGUAUCUAGAGGAGGUACAGAAAAUCACCUAGGUUAUGCAUAUGUCUUAGGAGGAGAGCAUAGAACUGGCCUCUUAUAGGCUGAAAAAUAUUGCUUAUGAUUGGGUUGUAGCAUGAAGGAAGGGUAGAGAAGAUGAUGAUGCUCUUAUGACGUGGUAUGUGUUCCAGGAUGCAUUCUUGGAUAAGAUCUUUCAGUUAGAAAUGAGGGAAGUGAAGGUAGAGGAGUUUAUGAACCUAAGGCAAGGCUCUAUGACUGUAAAUGAGUAUUGUCUAAAGUUUAACCAGCUAGCUAAGUAUGCUCCUGACUUGAUAGCUGACCCUAGAGCGAGUAUGAGUAAGUUCGUGAAUAGUGUGUCUGGUUUGGUUUUGAAGGAGUGUGGAGCUACCAUGAUCAAUAGGGAUAUGAACCUUUCUAGGUUAAUGAUGCAUGCCCAACAGAUUGAGUCAGAUAAGAUAAAGGAUAGAGAGAGAUUAAAUAAGAGAUCCAUAAUAGGAAUUAUAGUUUUUCUCAGCCAGGGUCGCAAGGUGGUAGCCGUUCUCAACAUAGUCAGAAGUUUUCAAUCCAAGCUCCAUCAUCAGCUAGUGUACGUGCACCAAACUUCAGGGAUGUUAGUUAUGAUGGAGCACCAAGCUCCAAAGCCCAAAGUAGUGCUGGUGGUAUUCGUACCUAUCCACUUUGUGAAGAGAGUGGCAAGAAUCACCUAGGUACUUUUAGAGCCGGUAGUGAUGUAUGCUUUAGGUGUGGUAACCCAAGGCAUAAGAUGUGAGAGUGUAGAGUGAUAGCACAGAAGGGUAAAGAUUUACGUCAGUAGGGCACCAAUAGUGGUCAGCGUCAGAAUAGACUUUAUGCCCUCCAGACCCGUCAUGAUCUGAAAGGUUUCCCUGACAUAGAUUUGGGUAUGUUAUAAGUCCUUUGUAUUCAUGUUAUGCAUUGUUAGAUCUCUUUCUCUUAUUUGAUCAUAUGUUUUAGCAUGAGUUAGUUAGUAAAGUCAGCAACUCAGUUUAGCAGUCAAGUAGUCAGAUUUGUAUAGUUGUUUUCUUAUUUUUUCAUUUAUCCAUGCUAACAAAAAUCUCAAAGAAUGUAACUAUUCCAAGGUAUAACCUCCUUGUAGUUAUGAGUAUAACUCAGUUCAUGCAUUAGUUUUGGACUCCUGAGGUUUAGUUAUGAUCCAGUUAGUAGAUGCCCUAUUCAUCACCUCAGUAUAUCAGUGAAGUAAGCGCUCUAUGAAGGACAUAGUGUCCCAAAGGGGAGAUACCCCAUAACUCCCUGAUGCUUUUAUGUAUUUAACCCAUUCAUUUGCAUAUUCAGAUAUUUCUUACAAGCUUUGCAUUAGUUAUCAUUGCAUAGUCAGUCAUGUUUGCAAGAGUCAGUCCAGUGAGAUACCCAUGCAUUAGAUAUGCAUGCUCAGUAGUAGAAGUUCAGCCUAUCAGCUUAUCCAGUCAUGAGUUCAUGAGAACAACUCAGUCACAGAUCCAUACGUCAGAUAUGCAUGUUCCUUAUGAGAAUUCAGCUUAUGAGUAUUCCAUGCAUUAGAUACCAGUACAUUCAAUCGUACUUACGCAUUUGUGCUAUGGUGUUUUACUUUACGCCAUAGGUUCAGAAGAACGAGUUCCAGAGCACCCCUAGUGGAUCAGACCAAUCAGCAGAAGUAGAUCUAGCAAUGAGUCCUCAUCAUUUGAGGAUGGUUCUUAUUUCAUUUUAUUACUAGAUUCAGUAUUUUAGUAGUUGGAGUUAGUUGGGGAUAUGUCCCAUCAACUUCUUUUCAGACAGUUUAGAGGCUUUCAGACUACAGAGUUUUUUUUUUAGAUUAGUUAUACAGAUAGUUAUUUUAGUUUGAUGUUGAUAGUCUUUAUUUAGUUUUAUUUUAGUAUUUAAAAUUAUGGCAAGUUUUCGCCAGUUUUUCGCAUUAUUCAGUAUUUUUAUAUAGUUAUUGCAGCAGGUACCAGAUAAGGGUUAGCUUGUGGUCCUUUGGGAUUAUGAGCACCGUGUGGCAUUCCGGUUAAAGAAAAUCGGGGUAUUACAAAUAUUGACCCAUCUCAAAAUCUCACCUUUUAAUAAAUCAAAACGAUAAAUAAGAUAUACAAAUCAUGAUAGUUAUAUCAAGAUUGAAAAUAUAAUUAUAUUUAAUAGUUUAGAUAAUAUAAUUUUUAUCAGUCAGUCUAAAAUAACAAUCUUUACUCGGUCCUAUUUAAUACAUACAAAUUGCACGCGCACGACUAGUUCGAGCUAUACCAUUCUCAUAAUUAAGAUAAACUAUAUUUAAUCUCAUGCUACAAUCAUUUUGAUGGUUUUUCCAAAUUUUCAUAUACGAUUGUGACCUAUAACUUUAACUUAUAAGAAUCGAUGGUUUAAUCUUCUAUAUAUAAUCUUAAACUCUAUACACCAAAUCAUCUACUAGGAGUUGGCAUAAUUAAACAUUUUUUUUUGGAAUUAAUCUUUUACUAUUUUUUCUAUCUUGUCUUUGAAUAUAAUUUCUCAAAUAUUUUUAAUAUAUAUUAUUUGUUUCACCUCUCUUAUUGAUUUAUUUCUUGAAGUAUUUUUGUGCAUUUAGACGUCCCAUUGCUAUUCACUUACUACCAUAAAUUUCUCUUCAAAUUUGUUGAUUGACACUAUUUGGUAUUGAAAAAGUGUUGUUGCAUUAGUAUGUCUUGUAUUUCAUAUUUGAGAUGUCACAAAAAAAUUUUCUCAUUUUAUACUCAUUCCCCUUUUCUUUCUUUAAUGAAAGCAUGUCUUAGACUAUAUCAUAUCAUACUAUUUGAUGCAAGUAUGUGUUAAUCUAUAGGAAAUGUUUGUCUAAAUUUUAAGCAACUAUACUUGUGGGUCAAUGUCUUCUUUUCAAGGAUUAGUUGAUUAUGUUGUGUUAGGCUCGAUUUUUGUAACAGCUAUCCUUGGGGUUGUGAAAGCUUCAAAAUAACUGUCGAAUAUUUUUUGACUCCGUUAACGCCAAAAAUAGUCAACUUAUAUGGUUUUUCAUGGGCCUUCAUGGUAAAUAUUUCUUUUAUCAUGAUAUGAUUCAUCAUUUUUUUAUUCAAUAAUGCUUUUGAUUUAUUGGUAUUAUGUUAUAGGCUUGGGCAUUUGAAGCCAUUCCUUAUUUGAGACAACAAGUGAACUACCAGGAAGAAGUUUCCUCUCCAAGAAUUCUGAGAUGGUUGUUGGCCAAAACCGACAAAAAUGCAAAAUUUCUUGAUCUUUUCAAUCCCCCCAAGGAAGCAGUAAGUCCAAUUCUCAUUAAGUUUUUAUUUUAAUUAAUGAUUAAAUGAUUUCAUCAUCAUUCUUAAUAUAUGUACCGAUUUAUUUUAAAUUAUCCAUCCGUUGAUUGUUCCAACCAACCGAGAGUUGAAGAUGUCAUUUUUUCUUACUUUAUGGUCUAUGAAAACUUUAUUGGACCCUAAGGUCAUUGAAGGAAUAAAAAUGGAAUUGUUUGGAGCAACAACCAUCACAAGAAAAAUAAUUUUGGAGGGUGGGGCUAAUGAUGCUCCUCUUACAGUUUUUGAAACAACAAGCCAUUAUGAUUAUGAUCAUAAUGAUUGUAUAGAUUUUUCUCCAGAUUUUGCCACAUCUAGGGAAUGUUCUUUAUGAAAAUGUCAAGACUGCAAGGAAAAACACGAUGGAGUGAUUAAUGCUAUUAAUGCACUAACUGCUUCUGUAAAGGAAAUGAAAUCUAAAAGGGGUGUCAUUCCAUCAAAGAGGAUUUCAUAUCUAGGCACUCCACUAGAGAUCAAGGUGACUAAUAGGAGAAGUAAAGACACUUCCAAGGCAUAAUCAAUCAUCAAAAAAGCAAAAUUGCAACGCCUCUGUCUUUGUCUUGCACGAUGUUCAAUGUGCAAGGGCCACAGAAGAGCAGCAUGAGCUGAAAAAGGUGAAUGUACAUAAUCUAUUCCAAAAAAUAAAUAGGAAUAUAUCUGUUUCAACAGAUGAUACAUCUGCUAAAAAUUAUCAAACAGAUAUAUACAUCUGUUGCAACUGUUGUCUAACCUAUUGCAUCAGAUUCGUUAUAUUUUUCAACAGAUGUUUCUUAUGUUGCAACAGAUGGGUCAUUUGUUCAAAAUUAUCGUACUACUCUGAUUUACCUAUUAGAAUUUGUCCCAAUAUAUAAUCCAUCUGAUACAACAUAAGACUCAUCUGUUGCAAUACAUGGAAAAUCUAUUGUAUAUCUCUACUUAGCAUUGACAAUUUUAGCUUUCUAGGUGUAUAUCACAGCUACUGCCGAAGACCAUAAUAUGAUAGUUGAUAAUCCAUCAACUGCUUCCAAAGAUGAAGAAAAACUAGAGCCUAUCAGUUUGGGAGAACGGAAGAAUUACCCAUUUGAAGGGUUCAACAUCUCGAAAGAGUCUCCAAAAAUACUAACACAGUUGAUCAAUGACUAUUCAGAAUGGAUUACCGAUAGGCUGUUAAAGCAUCAUGCCGGCAGGUACAUAAAUCAAUUUUAUGGAUAUUGGUUUAUAUAAUUCUUGUUGUAAGAACCUGACAUUAACACAUAUAAAUCAUCAUGUAGAAAAAAAAUGACAAGUGCUACAAAGUGAACGAAUCUUGUCUUGAUUUUUAUAUGUUCGACUUUGUUAUUGCACAUUUCGGAAUGAAGAAUUGGUUCUAUUUGAUGUCACAGCCCCAUACUUGUUGGAAUGAUGAGGUUUAAAUGUCAUAUAUAGUAGUAUUAAUUAAUACUUUAUUUAAUUGCAUCUAUGUAUUGAUUUUUUGGUCACGUAAUCUGAAAUGUUUGAUAAUAUGUGCAGCAAAUCAAUGUCAUUUUUUACUACCUCCAAAAAAAGGCUAUGUUGCAAACACAAGAACAAUAUAGAUACACAACAGGCAAUUAUUUGUACAAAGUUUACAUCAAUAAUGCUUAUGAUAGGUAUUGUCAACAACAGCCAAAAGUUUUUCGAAAUGAGGAAUGCUUAAUCAACAUCAUCAAAGGUUUUAGCAUUCCGGCUGGCUUACCUUGGAAUUUGCUCGACGAAGUUUACAUCCCAAUUAAUUGUAUUGAUGAAUUCCAUUGGGUGUUGGCUGUUGUCGUUCUAAAAGAGAGGCGCAUCCGAGUUUAUGACUCAAUGUCGUGAAUGAGACGUUCUGGGCUGUCUUCUGAGAUACAAAAGCUGGCCAAAUAUUGCCUACUUACCUUGAUAUGAGUGACUUUUUGGACCAAAAGGUUCGUACUGAUUGGUUGAUGAUUGAAGCAUAUCGGGAUAAAAUGGAUAAUCCAUUUGAUGUAUAAUAUAUUGACGGAAUUGCUCUAAACCAUUGGUAGCCUGUAAGUUUAAGUGUCAUGAUUUAGUUUUAUUUCACAAAUUUCACAACGCUUACAUGAACUGCAAGAUAUGGAUUAUCUAUUUUUUAUAAUACAGGGAUUGCAGUCCUUUUAUUGCCGCCUAUGCCGAGUAUUUGAGCGAUGGAUUACAAGUACCAAAUGUGGACUUGAUGACGGAUUACUCCGCAAAACAUAUACUGCUCUUUUAUGGAAAUAUGAAGAAGUGAAAGCUCAGAAGCCAUACGCAACCGACGUUAAAGAUCCACAAUGACCAAAGCCGAAUUUUGUAGAUCAAUGUAAUAACCUAUCCUCUUUGGUUUAACUUGUUGCUUUAUUGGCAAAGUAGAUCGUCUGUACCCAUAAUGAUUUUUUUUACAUUUCAUUUAUUUGUUCAGUUAUUUCAUGUAAUUUUCGAAGGCUUGGAUUUAUUUUAUUCUGUCUAUGAAUAUAACUAAUUCUUAGUUUUGAGCAUGUUAAUUGAAAUAGAGUACUAGAUUCAAAUAUCGCAAUAGAUAAUACAUCUGCCGCAACAGAUGACAUAUCUUAUCAGACAGAUUUAGACAUAUGUUACAACAUGAGAUGCAACACGUAGGUCAUCUGCUGGAAAUUAUAUAACAGGUCUUUCUACUUUUUUUAUUUGCUCCAACAGAUUACCGAUCAAUUGCAACAGAUAAGUUAUAUGUUGCAACAGAUUAUAAAUCUGUUGCGAUAGACAGACGGGGAACUUCUGCAUAAUGCAACAGAUGACCAACUUCUGCAUAAUGCAAUAGAUGACCAACCUAUUCUAACAGAUAAUCAAUCUGUCACAACAGAUACUAUAUCUGUUAUGAAAGAUAUAAAAUCUAUUGCAUUAUAAAUAUUCAACCUGGCAAGACUUAAAAAUUAUUGCCCUAAGAGAAUUGGCUUGAAAUGAAAAAUUGUUAUCGUGUUUAUCUCUGUCUUUGUACAUGUUCUUUUUUACACACGGGCUCCAACCAUUUAGUUAGUACCUUAUAUUCCUAGAACCAUUGCAUAUUUUCCACAAUGGUGUCACACAUACCGAUCAUUUAUGUGUCGGUAAGCAAACACUCAAUAUAUGCAAGCGAGUACGGCCCGCACGUUGCACCCGUUGUAUUUUGUAGGAGCUGGAUGUUCUUAUUUCGAUCUUCAAAAUCUCAUGAUUCCUUCACCAAGACUUUAGCCGGCAAAUGAUCCAUCAGCUUACUCUGCGUCAACAACUUAGGCAACAACUUCAAGAGUGGCUGCAUGUGGGUUAAAAACUUCUUCUCUCUGAAGACAGGUAAGUUACAGUCAUAAACCUUAAUCUUUCCCUCAUAUAGUAGUAUCUCAACAGUGAGAAAAUGUGUGAGAUCCACGUUCAUGACUGUAAGGAUUCUCUUUGCCUUGGUCCAGCUCUUGCCGUGUUGAUAUGGGCUCUUCUCUCUAACAUAUUUAAUCGCUUCUUCAUCCCAUUGGAACGUAGAAACUAACUGAUCAAAUCUCGGGCCACCGGAGUCAGCUAUCUUACAGAGUUUAGCGUACCUAUCCUUGAAAUUAUUUUAGAAGUUGAGGCCCAUUAUCCUAUCGGCAGCAUCAUAAGCAUCCAGGUACGCUAAUUGCCUGCCUCUCAUGAGGAAGAGAAUUUCAUCAACCUACUGUGGUAUAAGAAGACAAUUUUUAAAUAGGUUAGUAAUUGUAAAGAAUAAAAACAAAGUCAAAAGAAUCUGAUGCAGAGGGUUCUCUGAAUCAGUUCACAGAUUAUCCAGCCAACGCAACUUAUGCAACAGAUGUGUAUUAUGUUGCAACAGAAUACCAAGUUUUUGCAACAAAUUACACAUCUACUGUGUAGAUUUUUCUUCAUGGAGUAGAUUGGAAGGGUAGGUUAGCAAAAAUAUACUUUUUCCUCGUACCACACACAUAUAUUUGCUAUAUUUGAGAAGUCUUUGGUGGCAAAUGAAUGCAUGGUGUAUUCUUUUUUAACCUUCAUCUUGAUGAAUUCUUUCAGUUCCUUCUUCUUCUCCUUUCCAAGCGCCGUGAAUAUUUCCACCUUCUUCGGCAACCCCUAAACUUCAACAACUGUUGGAGGGGGGAGUUGUAAUUUUUACUGAUUUUAGAACGGAGAGAAUUUGUCUAAUUUUUCUUAUCUUCCUCCUAACCUCCAGUGUAGGAGUGCAUGGAUCCCUCACCUUGUUGGAUGGUAUGAUACCCCUCCUAGAUUUCAACUUCUCUGCAGCUUCAGUAAUAGACUCUAGCUUGUCGAGGAGUUUAUCCUCUCUAUCCUUGCACACUUUGCAUUUGCAAUGAGAACAUGAGGGUGAUGAGUGAUGAGAAGGACCACUGUAAGGGUAGAAGGGACUGGUGUAGGGGUGGGAGGGACCCGUGUAGGGGUGCUUUCAAACAUUUAUUUUCUACUGAGCACCAACAUGCUCAUAAUCACGACUGACAGCAGAAUCAGUAGCAGGAUGGCUACCACCAUCACAAAAAACUCUACCAGCAACACCCCAGAAGAAGCACCCGAAUCUGUUGCAGUUUGACUUUGGUCAUGAAGAGCUUCAACAUUAGACUGACCUUACCUAACUGCUCUUCUUAUGGAUGUUUCUCCAUCCAAUUUCCUUUUUAUUAACUUCACCGUUGGGUCUUCUUUUGUAUCAACAAGACCCAGAUUAAGAAAAGAAGUCAUCCCCAGCUCAUCAAUGGUAGACACGAUCCAAGGAUGCAUAACCUAUAAAAAAAGAUAGGAGAAAUUUAAAUCAUCUAAUAAUAAUUUGCAGUCAGUUAAGUUAAAUGGGGAUCGGGUUAUGUUAACACAACCAACUUAUGCAAUAGACGAUCUAGCUACCACAACAACUGAUCUGCAUAUUGAAAUAGAUUGAUACUAUGUUGCAUUAGAAUACCCAUCUGUUGCAUAAUUUAUAGUAGAUAGGUAAUCUGUUGAGUAAGGUUCAGAGACCAGAGCAACAUAUGGUUAAUCUAUUAUGAAAUAUGGAUCGUCUGUUCCAACAGAUUACCUAUCUAUUGUACUAGUUGCAGUUGAUAGGUAAUCUGUUACAACAGACUACCCAUUUAUCGCAAUAGAUGGAAUAUCUGUUUUAAUAUCUUUCUUUGAGGCUAAUUAUUUUAGUUGAAAGAAGAUGUACUGCAUCAUCUUGAGGGUUAAAGAGAUCAGCCUCAUUAAUAUUUAUUUACUACUCUCUAUUGCAGCCAACCACCUAAGGAUCCUUGGAUGAGAAACCUUAUUUGGGUAAUCCAUGAAAUGCUUUCGAAGGGGAGGAAUGUCUUCACAUGCCCAAGCCUAAAAAUUGUAAACAGGAAGCAAGCAAAAAAAAAGUCACAAGUAUAUUCAAUAUAAAUUAAUGAAUGAGUAAAAAUAGUGAUCAAUUUUACCAUGAAAGCCCAAGGAAAGCCAUAUAAUGUAGUUGUCUUUGGCUUUAUCUCUUUCAGUAAGUAUUUGACAGUCAAGUAGUAGCUGUCAUAGCCCCAGGGAUAAUCAUUGAAUUUCCAAAAAUCAUUAGCAAACUCCAAUAAAUAACGUUCUAUGACUUUUCUAAUGUCUCUUGCCAAUAAAACGGAAUGGACAAACAAAACUAAGCACAAUUUCUCCAUGUAGUGCUUUGGUAUGUAUUUAUUCUUGAGAUCCGCUAUCAAAUCCUUCACUUUGUAGCUAGGUCCAACAAUGCCCAACUACCCAUCUUUUUUUACGUCGUGUUUGUUGGACUCUUUGUGGGGUGUUUUCUUGAUGGGAGGUUCUUCUGGACGAUCGUAUCUCAAGCCCGUCACAAUGGCAAACUCUUUCAAUCCAAAACAAACCGGCAUGCCACAGUAGUUAAUCCAGACUUCAUCCAUCUUUUUUCUGCCCUCCUUCAGUCCUCGAUCAUCCCCCACAUACAUGAUCCUGUGCUUGAGAAGACCAUAUACCAUGAUUAUUGGAACGGAGAGGGCAGGGCCCAGACAGCUCAAGAAAGUGUGCAAAGCAGCUCUUCUUAAAAAAUCCAUCUAUGUUUUCCUUCUUCAUAAUACACCUAAGUUUAUCAAAAGGUUUCCCCAACUGACAUUUGUCACUCUCCCUUUUUAACUCCAAAAUAUGUGGUCUUAAGUUUAAAAGGGGUUUCUUAUUAUUGAAGUGAUAAAGGGUGAAAUUUGUUUCGAAAAAGGAUUAUUUUUACUUUCAAAACUCAGAUUUGCAACUUGUCAUAAUCCGAUGUGCCAAGUCACCUUUGAAAAAUCCUUUUUCAAAAUGGUUUUGACUCUUUUAAAAAUGAUUUGCGAAUAGAGAUUCCGGUUAAGGAAUUCUGUUGACUGAGGGGAAGGCGUUAGGGACCGCUCGAUCUUGUGGUUGGACCACGGUCGCUUAGUGGAGCAAAUCGCUAACUUGACACUAUAAAUGUACAAACCAUGUAAACACAUAAGACAAGCAAACAAACAAAUCAAACAAAAAUUUAAAACCAAAAUAAAGUCCAGUCCGAAUUAUAUAGUACCAAAAUACAAAUAAAAGAUACCGAAAUAAAAAUCCUAUUCUAAACUAAUCCUAGACUAAUCUUCAAUGCCUUACCCGAUGCCUUGGGCCUUCCUCACGAAUGUCUUCCACCAACAUAGUACGUCGGGGUAUUCCCCGAUGAAUAAAUAUAGUGUGUCUCGGGGCAUUCCCCGGCUAAAUGAAUACAUUUUGAAUUAAAUAUGAUAAACUAUAAAGAAACAUUCAUACACACAUUCCAACAUUCAACCAAAACAACAAGUUCUAAAAUUUGCCUACCCGAACCUAUAUUGCUUAUUAGUUUCAACCCAUCAUAGAUCUAUCACAGUUCAUACAAUACUCAUGUUCAUUCUAGAUUAAACAAACAAUGACAAACUCAAGUUCAUCUAAUUCAACCAUUUUUAUCAAGUUCUCAAUUCCACCCCACCUAACAUCGUUUUCAUCAAUUACACAAAAAAUUACUCCAAUUCGUUCCACAUAUCACCGAACUUACACCGUCAAACACAUAAAACAUCAUAACAUCAACAAAAUUCAACAAUCAUGAUCCGCCACACAUAAUCACAACUAAUCCAAUCAAAUCAAGAAAAAAAGAAAAGAGAAUGAGUUAAAGGAGUGGACCUCAAUAACGCUUGUUUUUGUUGAUAAUAAAGAAAUCUGAGAUCGAAAACCUCAAACAAGGAUCCCAACAAUGAUCAGAGCUCUAACUCAUGAAUAUUAGGCCCACUAGAUUGCGAGACACCCCCUAAAGCACACUAUCGAAGAACCAAUCACAAAAAAGGAAAACCCAAAGCUCUCUAAAUCUGGCAAAGGAUUGAAAAACUUAUAGGAAUUGAGUUCCGGUGAGAUGACAGUGAUCAAAACCAGCGGGAAAGGUCAGAUUCCAAUGACCUUGAUAUUUUCCGAUCAGAUUCAACUAAAAACAACUGGGAAAAUAAAUAAAAUUUAGGGAUUUCAACUGGACUUGCUGAACGGGUGAUCUGGACACACAUGACGCCGAUUCGGCAAGAUUUAGAAUGAAAACAAGGUCGAGAUUCACUGUUUCGGCAUGG
rnacentral:lncRNA from 1 species